rnacentral:rRNA from 1 species
AUUGAACGCUGGCGGCAUGCCUAACACAUGCAAGUCGAACGGCAGCACGGUAUUCGCUCUCGCGUCCGGUGGGCAACGGGCGGACGAUUCAUCGGAACAUCCCCAUCUACUUUGUCGAGGUGGACAACGUCGGGAUACAUACCCCAAUACCGCAUACGACCUACGGGUGAGAUCAUCGGAUCUUCGGCCCUUGCGCGGGCGGAUGAGACGAUGGCGGAUUAGCUAGUUGGCGGGGUAAAGGCCCACCAAGGCGACGAUCUGUAGCUGGUCUGAGAGGACGAUCAGCCACACUGGAACUGAGACACGGCCCAGACUCCUACGGGAGGCAGCAGUGGGGAAUAUUGGACAAUGGGCGAAAGCCUGAUCCAGCAAUGCCGCGUGUGUGAAGAAGGCCUUCGGGUUGUAAAGCACUUUUGUCGGGAAAGAAAAGCAGUGUGUCAAUACCACGGUGCGAUGACGGUACCCGAAGAAUAAGCACCGGCUAACUUCGUG